GAUGAACGCUGGCGGCGUGCCUAAUACAUGCAAGUCGAGCGAACAGAUGAGGAGCUUGCUCCUCUGACGUUAGCGGCGGACGGGUGAGUAACACGUGGAUAACCUACCUAUAAGACUGGGAUAACUUCGGGAAACCGGAGCUAAUACCGGAUAAUAUAUUCAACCGCAUGGUUCAAUAGUGAAAGACGGUUUUGCUGUCACUUAUAGAUGGAUCCGCGCCGCAUUAGCUAGUUGGUAAGGUAACGGCUUACCAAGGCGACGAUGCGUAGCCGACCUGAGAGGGUGAUCGGCCACACUGGAACUGAGACACGGUCCAGACUCCUACGGGAGGCAGCAGUAGGGAAUCUUCCACAAUGGGCGAAAGCCUGACGGAGCAACGCCGCGUGAGUGAUGAAGGUCUUCGGAUCGUAAAACUCUGUUAUUAGGGAAGAACAAAUGUGUAAGUAACUAUGCACGUCUUGACGGUACCUAAACAGAAAGCCACGGCUAACUACGUG
rnacentral:rRNA from 1 species